CUAAGCCAUGCAUGUCUAAGUAUAAAUGUUAUACAGUGAAACUGCGAAUGGCUCAUUAAAACAGUUAUAGUUUAUUUGAUAAUCGAAUUUACAUGGAUAACCGUGGUAAUUCUAGAGCUAAUACAUGCUGGUUAGCCUGACUUUUAGGAAGGGCUGUAUUUAUUAGAUAACAAACCAAUAUUCCUCGUGUCUAUUGUGAUGACUCAUAAUAACUGAUCGAAUCGCAUGGGCCUUGCCCGCGAUACAUCAUCCAAGUUUCUGCCCCAUCAGCUUUCGAUGGUAGUGUAUUGGACUACCAUGGCUUUAACGGGUAACGGAGGAUUAGGGUUCGAUUCCGGAGAGGGAGCCUGAGAAACGGCUACCACAUCUAAGGAAGGCAGCAGGCGCGUAAAUUACCCAAUCCUGACUCAGGGAGGUAGUGACAAGAAAUAACGGACCGAGGCUUUUGCUUCGGGAUUGCAAUGAGUAGAAUUUAAACCCCUUUACGAGGAUCAAUUGGAGGGCAAGUCUGGUGCCAGCAGCCGCGGUAAUUCCAGCUCCAAUAGCGUAUAUUAAAGUUGUUGCAGUUAAAAAGCUCGUAGUUGGAUUUCUGGGAGGGCGCCAAUGUCCGCUCGUUCGCGUGUGCAGCGGCGCCCUUCCAUCCUUCUGUUAACGCUUCUUGGUAUUCAGUUACUGGUAGCGGGCUCAGAUAUUUUACCUUGAGAAAAUUAGAGUGUUCCAGGCAGGCUUGCGCCGGAAUACAUUAGCAUGGAAUAAUAGAAUAGGACUUUAGUCUCCUUUGUUGGUUUGAGGGACUGAAGUAAUGAUUAAUAGGGAUAGUUGGGGGCAUUAGUAUUUAAUUGUCAGAGGGUGAAAUUCUCGGAUUUGUUAAAGACUAACUUAUGCGAAAGCAUUUGCCAAGGAUGUUUUCAUUAAUCAAGAACGAAAGUUAGGGGAUCAAAGACGAUCAGAUACCGUCCUAGUCUUAACCAUAAACUAUGCCGACUAGGGAUCG
rnacentral:rRNA from 1 species